AGUCUCACAUCAAUAGGCUGAUGAGUUCUUCACAGCUGCAUACACUGGGCUUUACCUUCAGUCCCCUAUAUCCUCUGUCACCUCCUGAGACCUGUGCAGCGUACACAGAAUUACAAAUAGCUAAGAGGGAAGUGUUGGAAUGUUGGGUAGGACUGCAGGAAAUAGUCAAAAGACACCUUUGUCCCCUACUUCCUUAAGAGAAGGCCAGCAGGCCCUUUCUUGGGAGUAACUUGCAAAAAGCCACUCCUGCCCUGAUGAGGAUGGUGAUAGAGUUAUUGUCAGCAGAGUGUUUCAAACACUAUGAUUUUUAAAGUUGUAAACUUUUCACUAAAACAUACGUAUUUGAAAUUCUUUCCUUUAAGUAUAGAAUGUGACUGUUCCCCACCAACCAAAAGUGCUCACGUAGCCAGCAACCAUAUCCAGAACUAGAUCAGUCUCAGGGAACUGUUCUCAAGAUUUCUGUCUUCUUCUGAGGGCCUUAAUGCCAUUCCCAGGCCGAAGUAUAAAUAGAUCACUAAUUCCAAUAACAAAAACUCCUUUUUUCCUCAUCUAGGAGAACAUAGAUGGCCUGUGUUACAUAGUGAAUACUUCUGGCUGGAGCACCACUAUGCACAUUUGGUGAUGAACUUGCAUGUGCUUUUGUGGGUGUAAUUUUGCCAGUGGAUGGAAGCAUCCUGACAUCCUAGACUAUGCAUCAGGCAAAGCACUAAGCCACUUUAGGGCACUACAGGCUUGCUUAAAGCAAUCCUUCUUCAGACAGCCCUCACUUCUCAUGAGAGACCUCAACAAACUGAAAAGGUCUUCUGAAAAACACUCCACUGUAUACACUGAGAUAUAUUUUUGUUGAUACAGCUAAUUUUAGUGAAAUUUUUUGUUAAUAAAGUUACUUUUUGAAUCAUAACUUAGGGGAACAUGUUUAUAAGGGAAUCAACAACUCCAGAAUGUGGAGGUUUGUGAAGAAAGACAAAUUAGCAAGAGACUAGUCAUGUCUGUACGUUUAGAAACAAGAUUUUAAGAGUUGGGAAGAUGCCUUGGUGGUUGUGAGCAUUGACUCCUUCCAGAGGUCCAUGAUUCAAUACCCAGCAUUCACAUGGCAGCUCAUAAUUGUCUGUAUGCCCAGUUCUAGGAGAUCUGACACUCUUCUCUAGCCUCCAUAGGCAUUGCAAGUAAGUGGUGUGCAGACAUACAUGUAAUACAUGUAAGUAAAACACCCAUACACAUAAAAUAAGAAGAAAACUUUAAAAAGUGGGAACAGAGUAUAUAUUUAAAGCUUUAAGAGCCAAACAGCAUACUAUAAGAAGACACUAGAAAGUCAUGUCAAAAGCAAAGCUGUCUUUUUCUCCUAACGAUCCAGGGCAGAGCCACUGCUCUGCUCCCCACCCUGUUCUUCCUCCAACUGAAGGCAAUUCUGGUUAAUUGAACAAGAUUUCUUAUAUUGGUUUAUUUUUGGAAACAGAGUCUCUCUAUACAGCCUAGGCUCAGUUUGAAUUUGAAAUCCUCCCCCCCCUAGUUAAUUUAGGAUUUCACACAAGACAAUUUAUUUUAAGAGUAAUAAACCUGUGAAUAUAUAAAAGUAUAAUUACAGUGCAUACCUUGCAAAUGAGAAAACUAAUACACAGAGAUAUUAAGUGAAUUGCUUAGUCACAGGCCUUCCAAGAUGGAGAAUCAGGCUUUGAAUUACAUGGGCUGCUCUACAUUGAACUUGAUCUUUUGAUCAUUUGGCCUCAUUUGAUCAUUUGGUUACAGUUACCUAUGUUAACAUAUUAAAACUAAUAUUGACCUCACUUAAAUUGUUAGAAUAAAGCAUUGUUGGAUACUGACUGUUUUAGUUAGGGUUUUACUGCUGUGAACAGAUACCAUGACCAAAGCAAGUCUUAUAAAUGACAGCAUUUAAUUGAAGCUGGCUUACAGGUUCAGAGGUUCAGUCCAUUAUCAUCAAGGCAGGAACACGGCAGCAUCCAGGCAGACAUGGUGCAAGAGGAGCUGAGAGUUCUACAUCUUCAUAUGAAGGCUGCUAGUAGAAGACUGCCUUCAGGCAGCUAGUGUGAGGGUUUUAAGUUCCACAACCACAGUGACACACCACUCCAACAAAGCCACACCUCCUAAUAGUGCCAUUCCCUCGGCCGAGCAUAUACAAACCAUAAUACAAAUUCCACUUUCUCUUUGAAAGUGGGAUUUGAGGACUGGGCUUUAAACUUCUAAGAAAAUUCUAUUUUUCUUAAUUUAUCAAUUAUCAACAUAUUCCUCAGUAGAAGCAAUCUAACACUGGCCAAGAAUGGUGUUACAGUAUCUUUAAGAUAUAACCACUGGUUGUCACUUACUUUUGAAGUAUGCUUUGAGGUGAUUGCCUACAUUUUUAGGCCAUUUAGGUUAUUGACAAAGGAAUGAUCUAGCAUGUAGGAUUAGUGUGCAAAAGACUCUUAGAAUUUUAUUAUCAAAAGUAGUUCUCAUAAAGGCUGAUUUCAUUAUUACACAUCAGCCAUCUUAAAUUACACACAUGUAUUUUUAUCUAUUUUGGUGUCUCCAUUCACCUGGUCCAUUUAACAGACCAGAAAACUCAUCUCCAGAGCCAAUCAACCAACUCCAGGCAUAAAGCAGCCAUUCUUAUCCUCAGGACAGGAUAUAGGAAGUCUGGACUGCUACUAGAGCCAUUUCUAUACCCUGUACCAAUCCAUGUUUCUUCCUAACUGACAGACUCUGAGGAUUUCAAGUCUGUGGUUCUCAGCACACUUCUGAAAGACUUUGAAUGGCUAACAGUCAUUUCUCAGCAGGAUUGAUCUCCAGCCAGGGUCACCAGACAUUGGCCUCCUUUUUGUGUAGUUUGGAAGAUUCUCUCUUCAAAACUGUCUCUCUACAUAAAAUGUUUCCUGUUUGAGUUUCCUUUUUUUCUAAUGAAUGAAUUUAUUUUGCUAGAGGAAGAAUUUUCCUGAGCUGUUCUGAGAAAGGCAAGAUAAAUGAAAGGUUAUAGAUCAAACGUGUUUAUUUGUCCCCUGUCUGGUGAGGAUUGGCUUAUGUAUUGCUAUGUGCUGUAUGGAAGGCUGAGGGACAAUGAGCCACACUGAGGUUGCUGAGAGAGGUGUAAUAGCACUGGUCGAGUCUCAGGAAGAUGCACAUUUAUGGCAGGUGUGGAACCAUCACAGCCAUUAGGGUGAGUCAAGAUGGAGCCCUCUAUGCUAUCAUCAGAGCAAAACAGAGAGAACAGCAUCUCUUGAAGACCCCUGAGAACUCUUUCAGGGUCAUGGUAGGAACUGGGUAACAGCCACAUUGCAUAAUUCUUACUGAUCAUGUUUUAUUAGAGGUGAACAUGCAUUGUCCACAGUUACUGUACUUUGUUUUCCAUUUCUCAGAUUCAGAAAGUUAAUUGCUCAUAUUACACAUCCAGUAAAAGAUAACUGGACUGCAAGACAUCCCUUCAAGCAGGUGCUCUUCACAGGGCACUUGCCUCUGCUGCCUCGGGCUGGGCAGAGGGGAACUGCUAACAGUCUAAGAUGAGGAUACAAGAGAGAGCAGCCUAAAUAGAGAGUAGAAGGUACAAACUUAAAUAUGGCCUGAGGUCAGAGCAGUUAGCCUACCUCUGGGAUGUUGCUUGUAUAGGAAGCCAGCAUUGGGAAAUUUGCAGGAUUGAUGAGGUAAGCCAUGGCAUGGACAGUGAUGAUUGUUUUUUCCAUCAUGUAUUUGGAACAGAGAAAUAAUAUUCUGGAAAAACUUGGGAAGAUAAACGAACUCUGGGGUGAUGUGUAGAUGAAAACAGAAUGAGGUUCAGAAGUGGGGGAGUCAUGGACCAGCUUCUGCAAAGACCAAUGAUAGAGGGACAAUUAUCAGGCAAUUGGUAUUUGACUAUUGGUACUUAAAACAUCCUUGAGGGUCCAAAGCGCUAAGAUUGUGUAGGGUUUGAUCUAUGGAUGUCUACUGUGUUUGAAAUUAAAACUGAGAAAUUCCAAAGUUGAUUAAGUCAUCUUAAAAGAAAUAUUAUAUCAAUAUGUUAAUCAUAUUAAGAACUUUAUGCUUAUCUCAAUAUGAAACAUUUUAGGACAAUAACUGUUUUACAUAGUAAAAGGAUGAUAUGUAAUAUUUCUACAGUAUUCUCUAAUGUCUGAUUAGUAGAACCCAGAAAAAUUAUCAUACAUUUGACAGUCAGAAAAUCACAUGUAUACUUCUGAGAGAGUAAGGAGGACAAGUUAGACAGUGUCAUCAUGAAUAUUUUUGAUGCUGUGGCAUUGUGAAAGACUCAUGGGGAUUCUGAUAAGACCUUGGAGCAAGUCUGAAGAAACAACGCACUGGAGGGUGGCUGAGAAGACUGAGGGAGAUAAAAAAACAAAAC
rnacentral:lncRNA from 1 species